AGAUAGGAAGACCGUGACGCACGCUGUCCACGUCCUGAUCGUGCAGCUUACGUAUGCUAACGUCAUGGGCAAUGAAUCACGAGGAAGACGUUACUCGAGUUCGGAUGACGUAAGUUGUUGGCACGGGCCAAACAAACAAAACGGCUGCUCUCCAAGGCGCAAACUGCACCAAAAAGAAAGGGGAAUGAAGGUAGCAGCCGAUUCGCGGGUCAAGUGUGUCUAAAAUUCUCGUUGUCGCUGUAUACUCGGUCCACGAGCCGUCCAAGUUGGUCGUUCCCAAGCUUCAAGAGAUGUGCACCAUGCUAGUUCAACAGUGUUAUUGAAAUAUAUUCACGCUCACACCGAAGAAAAAAUAAAUGUAAGAA
rnacentral:lncRNA from 1 species